rnacentral:rRNA from 1 species
AGCUCCAGUAGCGUAUAUUAAAGUUGUUGCAGUUAAAAAGCUCGUAGUUGGAUCUCGGGUUGCUCUUGGGGGUUCUGGUCCUUACGGGGCCUGUCUACUCUCAGGAGUACCUAAACGGCGGGCUCUCUGACAUGGGUGCCCUUAACUGGGUCGCCCACGUCACCCGCUCCAUUUACUUUGAAAAAAUUAGAGUGUUCAAGGCAGGUGCUAAAACCUGAAUAAUGGUGCAUGGAAUAAUAGAAUAGGAUCUCGGUUCUAUUUUGUUGGUUUUCGGAACUAGAGAUAAUGAUUAAGAGGGACAGACGGGGGCAUUUGUAUUGCGGUGUUAGAGGUGAAAUUCUUGGAUCGCCGCAAGACGAACUACUGCGAAAGCAUUUGCCAAGAAUGUUUUCAUUAAUCA